rnacentral:rRNA from 1 species
AGAGUUUGAUCAUGGCUCAGGACGAACGCUGGCGGCGUGCCUAACACAUGCAAGUCGAACGGGACCGGGGGCAACUCCGGUUCAGUGGCGGACGGGUGCGUAACACGUGAGGAACAUGACUUUCGGUGGGGGAUAGCCGGCCCAACGGCCGGGUAAUACCGCGUACGACCUUUUGGGGACAUCCCUGAAUGGUGAAAGCAGCAAUGCGCCGAAAGAGUGCCUCGCGGCCUAUCAGCUAGUUGGUGGGGUAACGGCUCACCAAGGCGACGACGGGUAGCUGGUCUGAGAGGAUGGCCAGCCACAUUGGGACUGAGACACGGCCCAGACUCCUACGGGAGGCAGCAGUGGGGAAUAUUGCGCAAUGGGCGAAAGCCUGACGCAGCGACGCCGCGUGUGGGAUGACGGCCUUCGGGUUGUAAACCACUGUCGGGAGGGACGAAUGCGCCGCAAGGCGAGUGACGGUACCUCCAAAGGAAGCACCGGCUAACUCCGUGCCAGCAGCCGCGGUAAUACGGAGGGUGCGAGCGUUGUCCGGAAUCACUGGGCGUAAAGGGCGCGUAGGCGGCCUGGUAAGUAGGGGGUGAAAUCCUGCGGCUUAACCGCAGGGCUGCCUUCUAAACUGUCAGGCUCGAGCACGGUAGAGGCAGAUGGAAUUCCCGGUGUAGCGGUGGAAUGCGUAGAGAUCGGGAAGAACAUCAGUGGCGAAGGCGGUCUGCUGGGCCGUUGCUGACGCU